UACGGAGGAUCCAAGCGUUAUCCGGAAUUACUGGGCGUAAAGAGUUGCGUAGGUGGCAUAGUAAGUAGAGCGUGGAAGCGUGCGGCUCAACCGUAUAAACAUGUUCUAAACUGCUAAGCUAGAAUAUAGAAGAGGUAGCUGGAAUUCCUUGUGUAGGAGUGAAAUCCGUAGAUAUGAGGAGGAACACCGAUGGCGUAGGCAGGCUACUGGUCUAUUAUUGACACUAAGGCACGAAAGCGUGGGGAGCAAACGGG
rnacentral:rRNA from 1 species